rnacentral:rRNA from 1 species
UACGAAGGGUGCAAACGUUGCUCGGAAUCAUUGGGCGUAAAGCGCACGUAGGCGGCCUUGCAAGUCGGAUGUGAAAUCCCUCGGCUCAACCAAGGAAGUGCAUCCGAAACUGCAGAGCUUGAGUACUUAAGAGGAUCGCGGAAUUCCCGGUGUAGAGGUGAAAUUCGUAGAUAUCGGGAGGAACACCAGUGGCGAAGGCGGCGAUCUGGGAAGAUACUGACGCUGAGGUGCGAAAGCGUGGGGAGCAAACAGG